CGCAUGGUGGAUGCCUUGGCAUCGAGAGCCGAUGAAGGACGUGGGAGGCUGCGAUAUGCCUCGGGGAGCUGUCAACCGAGCGUGGAUCCGAGGAUUUCCGAAUGGGGAAACCCAGCACGAGUGAUGUCGUGCUACCCGCAUCUGAAUAUAUAGGGUGCGGGAGGGAACGCGGGGAAGUGAAACAUCUCAGUACCCGUAGGAGGAGAAAACAAUUGUGAUUCCGCAAGUAGUGGCGAGCGAACGCGGAACAGGCUAAACCGCACGCAUGGGUAACCGGGUAGGGGUUGUGUGUGCGGGGUUGUGGGAGGAUAUGUCUCAGCGCUACCCGGCUGAGAGGCAGUCAGAAAGUGUCGUGGUUAGCGGAAGUGGCCUGGGAUGGUCUGCCGUAGACGGUGAGAGCCCGGUACGCGAAAACCCGGCACCUGCCUAGUAUCAAUUCCCGAGUAGCAGCGGGCCCGUGGAAUCCGCUGUGAAUCCGCCGGGACCACCCGGUAAGCCUAAAUACUCCUCGAUGACCGAUAGCGGAUUAGUACCGUGAGGGAAUGGUGAAAAGUACCCCGGGAGGGGAGUGAAAGAGUACCUGAAACCGUGUGCCUACAAUCCGUCAGAGCCUCCUUUUCCUCUCCGGAGGAGGGUGGUGAUGGCGUGCCUUUUGAAGAAUGAGCCUGCGAGUCAGGGACAUGUCGCAAGGUUAACCCGUGUGGGGUAGCCGCAGCGAAAGCGAGUCUGAAUAGGGCGACCCACACGCGCAUACGCGCGUGUGAAUAGUGGCGUGUUCUGGACCCGAAGCGGAGUGAUCUACCCAUGGCCAGGGUGAAGCGCGGGUAAGACCGCGUGGAGGCCCGAACCCACUUAGGUUGAAGACUGAGGGGAUGAGCUGUGGGUAGGGGUGAAAGGCCAAUCAAACUCCGUGAUAGCUGGUUCUCCCCGAAAUGCAUUUAGGUGCAGCGUUGCGUGGUUCACCGCGGAGGUAGAGCUACUGGAUGGCCGAUGGGCCCUACUAGGUUACUGACGUCAGCCAAACUCCGAAUGCCGUGGUGUAAAGCGUGGCAGUGAGACGGCGGGGGAUAAGCUCCGUACGUCGAAAGGGAAACAGCCCAGAUCGCCGGCUAAGGCCCCCAAGCGUGUGCUAAGUGGGAAAGGAUGUGCAGUCGCAAAGACAACCAGGAGGUUGGCUUAGAAGCAGCCACCCUUGAAAGAGUGCGUAAUAGCUCACUGGUCAAGUGAUUGUGCGCCGAUAAUGUAGCGGGGCUCAAGCACACCGCCGAAGCCGCGGCACAUCCACCUUGUGGUGGGUGUGGGUAGGGGAGCGUCCCUCAUUCAGCGAAGCCACCGGGUGACCGGUGGUGGAGGGUGGGGGAGUGAGAAUGCAGGCAUGAGUAGCGACAAGGCAAGUGAGAACCUUGCCCGCCGAAAG
rnacentral:ncRNA from 1 species